AAAACAUUUAAACGCAGAAGAAAAUUUUGCAUUAGCUGCAUAAGCUACGUCCCUCAUACUUGUGCCUACCAAGUGUGAAUGGACGUCAAACAGUAGGCUGGUCUAAUUUAGUUGUUCAUAUGAAUUAGGCGAGACAAUAUGAACUGGGGUUGUGUAGCUUGUCUGUGAGCGAUAGCAACCCGAGAUCUCAAUCAUAGACUGUGCUCGGAGAAGUCUAUAUGGCAACACUCUUGGACAGGGGUUCGACUCCCCUCAUCUCCACCA
rnacentral:tmRNA from 1 species